GCGGCAAACCUCCGUUGAACCCCUCGGCGCAUCGCACCGAGAACGAGUUCGUCGAUGUGUUGGAAGUGGUGCAAUUGUGAACCAUAUCCGGUCGACCUGAUACACAAACAGCUUUUUCUCUUUGCGUUGGACAAUAUUAAACGGAGAAAAUUUUAGCGGAUCUGCCACAGCUUGUUGUUCAAACAAGAUCUUUUUUCUCAAACGGACGCAAGCGACACGAAGAUGCGACUAGAUCCGGCGCAAAAAGCUAAAGCAUGCAGUCCGGCAAAUGCCCUAACGUAAAGAGAAAUAUGUCCCUUCUACAAGACUCUCCACUCAUCGUUAAAAGCGUAACAAUUAAAAGGUACAAUGGAGGCGAUGCAUCAAAGUACAGUUUAGUACUGUCGAAUGGUUUGCAGUGACACGAAUUAGCAUCAUCAGCGAUUGUGCUGUAACUCACGCGGCGCCAGCAUUCCAGCCAACUAUUUGGACAACUAUAGAAGGAGGCAACUUGCUUCUCCGAUUUCGGUUUACCAACGAUCUACUAGUUCCUACUGGGUUCCUUCUCUACCAUUUUCUGCUGAAUUUGUGCAAAUACAUAUGUACGUCCUUCGCCAUACUAUUUUACACUUACACGAGAAAAAUAAAUCUCGAUCCAUGAAGAAUUUGAACCAGCAAGUCGAACAAUUUCAAUUUUAACUGGCGACUUCUAAUAAAAGAAAUUACAAAACGAAGGAGACUAUCCCGGUUUUUACAAGACUAUAAAUAAUAGUUGGUAUGGACUAACUUUCGAGAUCCAAAUCUGUUACUGAAUAAUAUAUCAGUAAUUUUAAAUAUUCGAUGAUACUGAAUAUAUGUAUAUUAGAAUGAAUCGCAAUAAUAGAAAUUACAAACACUUGAAGGUUAGUAGUACGCGAUACAAUUUAGAUGACAUAAUUUCCACUGCAGCAGUAAAAUGCUAUAGAAAGUAAUGCUAUAGAAAAUAUUCAAGAAAUUGAAAGAAGGGAUAAGUAGUGCACGGUACAAUAUAAACAAUAGUAUAAGCAAUAGUAGAACGAAAUAGAAAGUAUAUAGAAAACUAUUCAAGAAGUAGAAACACGCGAAAACAAGUAGUACACAGUGUAAAAUAGAAGAUUCUCUAGAGAAGCUCUUCUCAACUCUCGAUAUAAUCUCCAAACCUUCUUAACAACGGCUGCUCAGUUAUCCGCAACCCUUAAAACGUGGUAAUUCAACCGGUUAGCAGAUCGCAGCGUGUCGCGGCCCGACAAACAACAAUUAGCCAAGCUAAAUAAUUGGCGUUUGGGGUUCGCGUGUUACGUCAGGCAUCUUCGAGCGGCGCUGUAGCCGCGCCAGUGGGCGCGCGCGCGCGCGUUAUUUGCAUACAUUCUCAUUAAGCGGCGGUACUCGGCAGGAUAAUUUGAAUAUUGCACGUUACUCGCGCUGAUGAAACGUAAUUCGAGCGGCGUUACCUCGCGGAGGAACAAUUCCUCGAGACGUUGGGACACCGACGUUGCGAGUCAGACGAACAUUCGGCUAGGGCAACGGCGGGGAAUCUUGAUGAGGUGUUUCCACAAGCAGGGUGCUCUGAAAUAGCGAUGGCUUCCGUCUCUUUCCCCUCGUUGCUGUUCUUUACCCUUAUGAACAGCGAAACUUCUAAUCUCGAACGCGUUACACGUCCCAUUAAACAAUUCGUUGCAAGGAAACGUUCAACGCUUUCGUGUUCCACGCAUUCACGAUCGUUUUAGGGAUGGAAGAGCAGAAAUGAGAUUGAAGGUUUGGGGGAGAUUGAUCUUUAAAUGAUUUUCGAGAGAACAGAUACCUGAUAUGUUGCUUUGUUGUUCUAUGGUACAGAUCUUCGUGGCUAACUGGAGAGCAUCGACACAGUCUUUGUUGAAUCAAUAACUUUCUUCGACCUAUUAUAAUUCGUGAUUUUAUUUGGAUGAAUAUUUUACAAAUAGGUCAUUAGAUAUUCAUGAAAAUUCGAAUUCCUGUAAAUAAUAUUUAAGAAAUAGAAAUUAAGUAGAGAAUGGUUUUAUUCACUGAAUAUUGUUACAAAUACUAUAUCUCUAGAUAUUUCAUAUAAUUUUAUAGAUUUAACUUGUAACAUUUACCUUGCUAUUCUUGUUUUAACAAAAUGUCAUACGAAUUUCUACGUUUUAAUCGCGAUAAAAUUACUAACCAUCAAUGUAUAAAUAAUACACGGUAGUUUCGAUGACGUAUAGUGAAAAUUGUGCAACUACGAUAGUUUCAAUAAGCCAAAACUGAACAUAUCAAGAACAGAGCAUGAUGUUAGCAGGGUUUAACGAGUUUAGAGAAAAUUGCUACUGAAGCCAGUUAACGUCGAAGACAGGCCAACUUUAUAUUUUUGGGAAAUUUAAUACGAUGUGCUAACAUAGUUGAAGGGGAAAACUUAAUAUUUCGUGACCUAGUCCACAUAGUUGGCAGAGGAUAAUGUAUACACGACACGUUUAGAACGUUCACUGGCACUAAAGUUUAAGGGUCGUAUUAGGGAACAUUGGUUUAAUAUAUCAUAAGCUAUCUACAUGCUUGUCGAAGGACGUCGAGUGGAAGUUGAUUUACAAGCGAUACGUUCGACGAAGCUAAAGGAAGGUGUUACAAACACUGAUGUAAUAUCAACCCGCUGUCGAAGGAUGUAAGGAUGAAGUCGAUGCUCAUGGGAUAUAUUAUGGAAAUUUACCAAGAGUGAAAUCGAAGUACGAUUUUGGGAAAUUUUCAGCUGGUAUCUCAUGAACUAUAGAUACCUAAAACUUUUCUUGAUUGCACAAAUUAUUACUACAUCGUGUUAUUUUAUUCUAUUAGGGAUGUUUAUGAACAUGCGAUCUAAAGAUCUGGUCUAGAUGGACAUUUGUUUUACCAUUAUUAUAACGAAUAUUUUACUUUGAAUAUUUUAUAUAUUUCUGCAUAUUAUGGACACUCUGUACAUUUUUGCGGCCUUAAAAUUCUAGCGCUAUCUAAUACUAAAUUCGUCACAAAGUUUUUUAACAACCUUUUUAAUCAGCUUCCAUAUGUACAGCUAUGUAAAAUUCGCUUGUUUCAAUUUUAUUGAAGAAAUAAAAAGAUGUUGGAAGUAUUUUGUGGUUUUGAUUCGAUAGUCAGAGACCAUACUACCUUAGAAAUGUAUUACAUAAUAUAAGAAAAUGUCUUUACGUGAUAUUAUAUGAAUGCAUACGAAGAUACUCUAUGCUUCAAGAAAUAUCUCAGAAUACAUUUUUCAUCAUUUCUUUCUUAAUUUAAAAAUUUUCCCUUUGGCGUCACUAUUUGUUUUCACAGAAUUUUCUCGAAUUAAGUCUUUUUUAAACGAUCCUACCUCGUGAAACAAAUGCCAGAAUAUUUCAUUUCAUUUAAUGGAAGUUCUAUCUGUAUUCAUCGUCGCGAAUCGUCACUGACCCAACGUGUUUAAUGAGGAAGGAAGGGUGAAAAAAAACUGGUUGAGACAAUGCGGACGGAAAGUAAUCAGGUUCGAGUGUCAGUCGACCGAAGAUGCAUUGCUAAUUAAACUACGGAAAAGUUUCAACUGGUUCGCGAUAGACUCGUUGAAAUGGCGAUUAAAACCAUUCCACCGUGUCCGUUUCGUUGGAAAACUGAGUUUCGCGUUGUAGAUGUAUGAUAAAUGCCUGUAGAGAACCGUUUGAAGAAAACUCGGUUGUUUAAGUGGAACAGGUCCAAGGAAGGUAGCUACUUUGAAACUGGUUGAAAAAUGAACGGUUUGAUGAAUUAUCGGCAAGAACAUUCGAUGUGUAGGUAUAAUUCUGUUUGCAAUAUUUCAAAUAAGACUGCAGCUCGCACGAGCUGCGUAAUUCGCUCUCACGAUUUAAUAUUUUCCUCGCUUAGCGAGAAAUAUCCCUCCUUCGGCAGAAAACACAGACUGGAUUCUAGAUGUAAUAAUAAUAAAACGUAGUAAUAAUAUUCAGCCAAUUCUACAAUUCUCAAUCCGUACUACGAGAUUAUAAAGAAUGAUCAAGGCAAAUAUUUUCAUGAAAUCGCAGAGCGUAACUCAUCGCCAUAAGCCAAUCUUUAGUUCAGUUUCAUCAACAUUCUUCCCAGGCUUUUCACGCGUCGUUCUAUUUUCGCAUAUUUUACAAAUUUCGAAAUUUAUUUUCUCAUUUUGUCUUUGCACUGUCCCUGCUAACCAAUUGACUGUUACGAGUUUCUGAACUCAUCUUCCCUCCUUCCAUAUAUUUAUCGAUUGUUAUCGAUAAACAGUACUAACAAAACUUUUGUAUUGCGCAAUGCGUGCAGAAUCGAAUGAAUCGCGAUACGUAAAAAUCAUCUGACAAUGACAAGAAACACAAAAGUCGAAACACGGUCGAACACGAACGCGUAUACGACAAAAAGAACAUUUGUAAACGUACAAACAAUUACGCGGCAAACCAUCGAAUUAUUUAAGACCUACUACUUUCUGUGAAAGUCAUCGCGUCAUUAAGUUGUCAUAGGAGAAGUUGAAAAAUACGCGAUGUUGAUCGAUAAAAAUAAUCGCGAGUUGCGUUAUCUGGCCAUUCGGACAAGUUGACAUUAACCUAUUACACCUUCUAUAGAAAUCCUAAAUAGAAUAAAAUAAAAAUUAAAAUUCUGACUGCGCGCUAACUCUUCCGGUAACAUUAAUUUUUCUUCUAAAGAGAAACCUGUUAACAGGCUGUACAGUGAGUUUCACGCUUCCAAUGAAAAUGGUAGUUUAGUGAGCCGGUUUUAAUUUCCUCGGCCGUUUUCCCGAACAGGACGUAGCUUCGCGCUGGCCGUUCGAAUGAAUUGUGGUUAUUUCGGGCAUCCUAACUAUUGUAUGGAAUGGAAGCUGACGAGUUCGUGAGUAAACCGCGAUGUUGCGGUGAUAUUUCGGUUACUGUGUCAUCGGCUCGAUGUUCAUAUUAAAGGUGUGUUUGCAAAAUCGCAGCGGCAUACGUAAUAAUACAUGCGCGCUAAUGCUUUCGGUAUCAUUCGCUAUCCGCUGUGAAAUUAAUGCCGCGGAAACGAUAGCAAGUGGAUCACGACUGUGAAGCGAUAACAAGUAUUUUUGAACUUUACUAAUAAACUCGGAUUCAUCGUGCUUCGAUUUCUGAUUCGUCUUCGUAAAUCUUCGUUUUCCUCGAACCUCGAUUUUUUUUUUUGGAAAGUCUCCAAUGUUGUUUUUUACAACGACUGCGAUUCAUCGUGCCCGCGCGUGUUACGUUACUUUUACUUUUUAGAAAGAAGACUAUGCUCGUCGUUUAAUGUACCGCGAUGAAAAUUUGUCAGUUAUACUUUCCGACUAAUGUAAAGAAAAAAAUAGAAAUCUUUGACAAUAGAUUGUCGAUUAGACGUAUUUUAAGAGGGAGAAACUUUAAGCUGACAUCUUCCUAAAUUCUUAGCUAAAAUCCUCCUGAAACAAGAUUCUAGAGCCAAUUACGUUCUAUUAUAUUUCAUUAUAUUCAACACAAGAAGUAAUCCCUCUUCAAAAACACCUUUUUAGAAUUACUCGCUACCGAGUAUCGUCGUCCGCAGCCUCUCUCAUUCGUACAAUUGUAAGGCUAAAAAGAGGUAUUAUACAGGCGAAAAACCACGCUUCUCUCGUUUACAGUUUCCAGAGAACUGGAACAUUCACCGAGAAAGCAGCGGGAACAAUCGAAAUAACGGAGGAAAAGGAAACGAUGAUAAGGGAGGCCUCGUAGAAGGUAACGUUACCAGAAAGAUAUAGGCGACGAGAGUUUGUGAACCCUGGGGCACGAUUUUUCCUUUGUAUCAUCGAUGAAACCACUGCUAUCUGUGCGAUACUGUAGCAUUUUCAUCGGCCAUGCGAUUAAAAUUUUAUCGCCGCUUUGGCCGGUUGAAUAUUUCAAGCUUGCGCCGGUCAACUGCGUAACGAGUGCCGCGAAUCAACAGGAACCUAGAUAAUUUAUAGAACAUGGAUUUUUAUGAAUUUACGAAAGAUUCAGAUAUACGAAAUAUCCAAAGUAUAGCGCUUGUUAUAAUACUUGAUAUGUAAAACAAUUUUCUACCAAGAUACUACCUGUUUAAAUACGUCCUCAAAAUUGCCAAUUUGCGUAAAAAUCCGCUGUCUACUAAUUUACAAAGGUUUAUUGCCGCGAUGUGCAGUUUAAUAAAUGACGAGUAACAAGCUGUUCGCGUGACUUGAUAGUCGUGACUCUGCUAGCCGUGCGGGUUUUUUAAUGGCCGAGAUUGUAGAUUCGCUUGCCAGUAUGUAGCGUCUAUGUCUGCUUUGUCGCGAGAAGUGAAAGAUUUUGGCGAUCGGUGGAUCGGAAGAUUUGGAGAUACAAAGUUUCAACGAAUAAGCUGGCCGUGUUUGCCGACUGGAUAGGAAUGUAGAUAAAAAAGAAAGAAAAAGCAAAAAGUAUGGUGAUAGAUUUGAAGUUCAAGAUCAAGGAAGUGGAGGAGCCGAAGUUGUUGAAUAAGCAGUCUGACGAUAUGAAGGCAGAAACUGGGGGAGUAAGCAAACAAGGGACGCAAGAAUGUAGAUAAUGAGUCUCGAAAUGUAAAGAAACAAAGCACCUCGGGAUACGAAUGCACAAACGAUGUAGCAGAACUAAAAACGAGCAAGAAAUAUAGUGAAAAAAAAUCAAGGGAUAAAAACAAACAACGAUCCAAGAGCAGAAAGGACGAAGCGGCGAGCGGAGCAACAGCUCAAGAAAAUAAACAAGCAGCAUGUAAAUAGGAAUGUGAAUACACGAACUAGCAGUACAGAAAUGCACAUAGAAAAACAAUCCACGAGUAAACCACACGACCUUAGCCACCAAUUAUAUUUCCCAGGCAAUUUUCAACAUUAUUAGCUGCAAAUCCAAAAUUAAAACUGCAGCCGUAGAUUUCUCUCGCUUCUUAAUCACAUCACACUCAAUCUUCCCGCUUAAUUGCCUGAAAGGAAUCUGAACGAGCCAUCAACAACCGCUAAUAAGCAGCCAUAAAGAUUGCAUUCAGCGUCAAGACCAGGCUGCGGCGCAUCAAUCGACAGAGGCGGUUCAACAGUGGGGUAGAAAGGAAAGAGAACCGGAAAAAGGCUGGCAGAAGGAAGGGGAAGGCACGAAGGCGGCUCGGACGUAAUUUGUAAAUGGAACGGGAGGCGAGAUUGAAUUUUACGUCGAAUGGAACCGGCAAUUUUCUUCUCGGCGAACACCGAGAACGAAGAAGCCGGCUGACGUGGUUUCACGUCGAACGAGCCUGAGACACGUCACGUGACGAUAUUCAAAGCCGUUGGAUGCCUACACUCUCUCCUUAUCUCGCUUUCUCUCCUUCAGAGAGCACGGACGAUCUUUUGACAUGCACCGAGACGUUUAAUUUCGCCCGACGCUCGCUCCGUGAAUUUCUGCGACCAAUUGAAUUACCCGGGCAAACUUCCCACCAGCUCCCUUCCAGUUUCCCUCGGGGAUGCUACGACCGACUCCUACGGUUGCAUAAACUUACGUUCGAUCGAGGACUGGUCGAUUAAACCGGGAAAUACACGAGGAAUGAUCAGUGAUUUCAGGGCUGUUGCUCGCUUUAACGGUACUACGAUGAAUGAUAUCACGUCGUUGUAUAUCCCUGUUCAUGUAUAUUGGGACGCAUCAAGGGAAAGAAAAUUUUACUAAACGAUUAGGGCAUCGUGAAAACCAUAUUAAUACGAAACUGAUUGCCUUCUGAUUGUAUUUACCGGUCACGUUCCUCGAUCGCAGUUUUCAUGAAUAUUUACACUCGAUCUACUUUUUACGAUCCUAUUUAUCAUAUCGUAUUAUAAAUAAUUUUGUAAUUCAGAUUUUUUCGAUCGCUCAUUUAAUACGUUCUAAAUUGCGUGAACGCAAAAUUUUUAUCGAUCCUGCGAUUAUUCCGAGAAUCAUAUGUAUCGUAAUCACACGCAUUAUUAUCAAGCAGCACACUACUAGAGAAAAAAUAACGAAGAGAUUCGUGGCUCUCAGUAUAUUAGAGAUUUCCUGAGAUUUGUAUUCGUACGAAACUAAUGCAUACGCAACGCACAAUAAUGAAAAAUUACGCAAUGAUCCGUGUCUCGGUGAAAAACUUUUCAAAAGCCGAUUUUGCAUUCUGUUGUUGGACAAACAACGGUCUUAAAUGUUCUUCAUCUGUUUCUUUACCGUUCGGUUCAAAGUUUGGAAAUUCAGCGGUAUGGUGUUAAACCUCGAAGGAUCUGUUCUCUCCAUAGAAUAAAGUCGGAAUGGAAAGAAUAGGUGGGAACUUAACGCGCGUAAGAAAGACGAAAAUGAUUCUUAGCCGGAAAAGGAAAGUUUCCCAAAGUUUCGUCAAACUACGAAACUUUCUUUAUGUAUUAGUUUUUGAUGGGUAACACGCGUUAAGUAAAAGUGUCGAUAAUAAAAUGGUUGCGAAUAAGGCUGCCAGUUGUUCUACCGAAGUUCGAUUCCCUCUCGAGAAACUCUAACUCCGAAAUCUCUGGGCAGGAUUCCGACUCUAAAACUCUCUCUAAACUCUCCUGCUAAAACCCUCGUUCACCAUCGUUCGAAAAGUUACAGUUGUAUCUACGUGUGUGCACGCUCACGAUGCGCGUUUACCAAAGCCCUUCCCUAAACAUCACGUUCACACUUCGUUUCGAAACAUUUGCAUUCGUGAUGUGGCAGAAAUAUCGCGUCAGAAAUAGUUUCCACUCGUAAAGCCUGAGGCAAAGCAAAAUGUAUAUGUAUUUAACGAUACAAUUGAUAAAAACGAUUAUUCUUGCUGUACGAGAUGAAACAUGAAAUUUUCAUUAAAGGAUUCAAACUCGUGCCUUGAAUCUCGUAUUCUAAUUCCUGCCCUUCGAUUACCCGAUUCUUCAUCUUCGAAUUUUUGUACCAUAAUUCUACUCGUAUUUUAACAAAAAAAAUUUCAAUAUCCGAAGAAAAACCUCAAACUCUUUUAAAUUUCCUUCAGAGAGAAAAUUGUUCAAGAUAAAAACGUGGUUGAGCAGAACUUUCCCA